UUUACUAUUUUUUUACCUAUCCUCUCUUUUUCAAAAUUGCUUAAGGCCUUCCUAUUAUUUUAAAGUUGACAAGUGUAUAGGAAGGUACCUUCUUUUAUUCUCCCAUGACAGACACAAGUCUUGUCAUAGAUAUGAUCUACGGACAAAUCAGCAUCCGAAUACUCAGUUGAAUUAUUUACAAUCCAUAUCAUUACUCAUACUCAAGAAUGCUUAAGACUUUGCCCCUUUCUUUUUUGAAUUGACAUAGAUCCAAGCCCUCGCGUAAAAUGAGUAUGGCGCAUCAGAUCAGGA
rnacentral:misc_RNA from 1 species